GGAGUUUGGACCGUGUCUCAGUUCCAAUGUGGCCGAUUACCCUCUCAGGUCGGCUACUGAUCGUUGCCUUGGUGGGCCGUUACCUCACCAACCAGCUAAUCAGACGCAGGUCCAUCCCUCACCGAUAAAUCUUUGGCGAUAAAGCCAUGUGACUCCAUCGCAUUAUCAGGUAUUAAUCCCAGUUUCCCGAGGCUAUCCCUGUGUAAGGGGCAGGUUACCUACGCGUUACUCACCCGUCCGCCGCUAUCCUCUGCAUCAAUCCACCGAAGUCUCAAUCAACAGAUUCCCGCUCGACUUGCAUGUGUUAGGCACGCCGCCAGCGUUCAUC
rnacentral:rRNA from 1 species